CACACCCUGAAUAAUGACACGUCUGUGUUGUGGCCGGGAUGUGCCACCCAGCUGCCCCUAGGUAGGGAGGGACAAUGGUACCAUAGCCGCCUGUCCAUGCAAAUCAUGUGAUGAAAAAGAAAGUAUAAAUGGGCCAAUGACCGACAAAAACACAAUACCCAGUUUGGACUGACACUAUAGCACCUUCUAUAACCAACCACGGAGCCAAGAUGAGAGUCGGAGUGCCCAUAUUCCUCUUUUUGGCUGCAGCAGGAUUCCACACUGCUCUGACCGCAUCCUUGGAAUCGGCAGAAAAAGAAGACACAUUUGGUGAGGAAGUGGGGCUGGAGCAGCUAAGCGACCUGCAAAAGAGAGAUCAGGAGGAGUUUGAAGCAGCUCAAAUGAGUGAGGCUGUUCAAGAUGAAAAUACUGAGGAGGAGAAUGACACUCAGGAAGAGGACAUGACAGACAGAGACGGAAACGUUGAGGCAGACCAACAUGAGUCUGAGUCUGAUGAGGAUGUAGAUGGUAUGAGGCAAAAGCGUGAACAACUUGAAGCCAACGUUGAAGAAGCAGAUGAGACUACAAAUCUAGCUGAGGUAGAGUGAGCCUGCCGGAGGCAUCAUGUGAGGAGGCAGCACUUGCAGACCUACCCCCCAUCUUCUAUUACAGAACCCGAAGAACAUUGUGCAGCGAAACAGUUAACCGUUAAUAAAGAGACAUCUCUCUCCCCAUUCUAUUUCACUGCUGUGUGACUCCGUCCUUAUGCAAUAGGCCAUUGAGGUUUAUUUAGAAUGUAAUGGUUUGAAAAGUGAGUAUUUCAAAACGUCUUGAAUACAUAAAAUACAAAAAAAAUUAUAGCUUUCCAUUUUUAUUUAUUUUUUCCUCCAAAUGUAUUCUGUCUGCAUAACAAACCAGUAUUUUCUUUGGUGCCUUAAAAACAAAAAAAAAACUAUUAAGGCAACUAUAACUCUAAAUGAGUUUAGUAGUGCAGCAGCUCAGUACCGCAACUCUUGGUGGCAUCACAGC
rnacentral:lncRNA from 1 species